rnacentral:rRNA from 1 species
CUACNAUUUAGUGGGGAAUAACUGUUGGAAACGACAGCUAAUACCGCAUAAUAUUGCUGGAUAAUUUCCAGUAAUGAAAGGAGCUUUCAAGCUCCGCUGAUUGAUGAGGAUGCGGCGCAUUAGCUAGUUGGUAGGGUAAUGGCCUACCAAGGCAAUGAUGCGUAGCCGAUCUGAGAGGAUGAACGGCCACAUUGGGACUGAGACACGGCCCAAACUUCUACGGAAGGCAGCAGUAGGGAAUUUUUCACAAUGGGCGAAAGCCUGAUGGAGCAAUGCCGCGUGACUGAUGAAGGUCUUCGGAUUGUAAAGGUCUGUUGUAAGGGAAGAAAUGGUAAAACAGGAAAUGGUUUUAUCUAUGACGGUACCUUACCAGAAAGCCACGGCUAACUAUGUGCCAGCAGCCGCGGUAAUACAUAGGUGGCAAGCGUUAUCCGGAUUUAUUGGGCGUAAAGGGUGCGUAGACGGUUUUGCAAGUCUGANGUUAAAUUUAGGAGCUCAACUCCUAAUCGCCUUGGAAACUACAAGACUAGAGUAUAGGAGAGGUUAGUGGAAUUCCNUGUGUAGCGGUGGAAUGNGUAGAUAUANGGAGGAACACC